AGCAUAGUUUGAAGCUCAGCAAGAGUCCCCAUCUCACAGUGGACAGUUCAGUUGUUUUCCCUCCCUAAUGAAGAGAUGAGAGGUAUCUCAUCUCAACUACUUGAGUGUGAGAUUUACUACCAUAUGGAAAGGAAGCAUUUCAUGGCCCAUCCUAUGUAAAAUCUCCCCUUCUCUUCUUCUUAAGCAUCUACUUGUGACUCUGGAGAACAAUCUGGAAGCACCAAAUUUAUUACUAAAGUGAAACUCCAUAUUUGUUUUGAAUCUUGGGUUACUCAUUUGUUUUGAAGGAUUUGUUUGAAGCUAUUAGUCUGUGACUGUUUUACAAGGCCUGAUGGAGUUGUCUAUACACACUUAGCACUUAGUUUCUGUUGAUAAUGCUGUUAAAUGAAGUUAGUUCUCUAAUAAGUGUAACAGUGAAAUCAAAUCUCUCUUCCCCACAGGCUAAGGCAUGAUGCAUUCCUCCAGCAGAAUGGUGGUGUCUAUCAGUCAGGGGAUUUGUAAUCAGAUCUGCAAUCAGACAGGAAAGAAGUCUCCUCUGACCCUCAUAUUCAUGAUCUUUACUCAUUGUUGAGGAACUGGAAGGAAAUAUUAGUGAGAGCUAGUCAUGUGCUCCAAAUUACUUUCCAGCAUGAAAGUAAUUGCCUUCAUAGAAGUGCCUUCAGAGGUUCACUGGUGUCCUGCCUAUUGAUGAGAAAGAACCUACUUUAUCCUCUGAAGAAGAAAACUUUUUUUUUUCCUUCAAGCAGCAUAUUUCUUAUAGUUCAAUAUCCAGACUCACAAAAGUUUCUAUAAAGGUGAGAGAUGGUACACUAGUAUUUUCCAA
rnacentral:lncRNA from 12 species